rnacentral:rRNA from 1 species
UACGUAGGGUGCGAGCGUUGUCCGGAAUUACUGGGCGUAAAGAGCUCGUAGGUGGUUUGUCGCGUCGUUCGUGAAAACUCACAGCUUAACUGUGGGCGUGCGGGCGAUACGGGCAGACUAGAGUAUGGCAGGGGAGACUGGAAUUCCUGGUGUAGCGGUGAAAUGCGCAGAUAUCAGGAGGAACACCGGUGGCGAAGGCGGGUCUCUGGGCCGUAACUGACGCUGAGGAGCGAAAGCGUGGGGAGCGAACAGG